rnacentral:lncRNA from 1 species
ACUACCCUGGGCAUUGCAACACAAUUCAUGAUACACAAGAUGUAGACAUGACCUGGGUGUCCAUCAAUGGACAAAAUAGAAAGGAGUAUGUCACCAUGAAACACACAUGAUCCAGGAGGCUACUGCAGUAAGUGAAAUAAGCUGGGCAUGGAGAGACAUGUGAUUUUACUUGUGAUGGGGAUCGUGGGGAGAUGUCGGUCAAAGGACACAACAUUCCAAGGACAUAAGAAUAAGAAAUCUAUUGUAUAUCACGAUGGCUACAGUCAUUCAUGCAGAAUACUUUCAAAAAAUGCUGAAAUUAGAUGCAAAGGGUAGAAAGGAUAGCUGGGGUGAUAUACAUGGUGACUGGCUGGAUUCAGCCCUUUCACUGUGUACACUUCAAACAUUCAUACUAGUUAUAAUUCAUAUGCAUGGUUUAUGAUACUUAAAACUUAAAAUAAACCAUGGAAAAAUUGACCUAACACUAAAGUUGCCAUCUCCACUUGGUGCCCUCAUACACACACACUAAAGGUGACAUCGUCACCAGAUGCAGCUGUGCUGGUUAGUUUGAACUGUCAACUUUGGGUAUCUAGAAUCAGUAGCAAGAGAGUCUUAGAAUUAUCUUGAUCUGGUCUUAUCUGUGGGGGAUUGUGUUGAUUAUUAAUAGAUGUGGGAGGACUAAGCCUGUUGUGAGUGCUACCAUUCCCUAGGCAAGGGACCCUGAACAGUAUGAGAGAAGAGAAAGUUAGUUGAGAGAAAACAUACGAGAAAGCAAGCAAGCAAUCAAUCAAGCAAGCAAGCAAAGGCAUGCAUUUAUUUCCCCUUGUUCUUGACUGUAGACUUGAAGCUCUCAGUUCCUCCCUAGGCUUUUUCACAAUAAUGGGCUGGAGCUUAAGGUUGUGAACCCUUUAUUCCUUGGGUAGCUUUUUGUCAGGGUAUUUUAUCACAGCAACAGAAAUUAAAUAGACUAGUACAUCAUUCUGUUGUUGUUGUUGUUGUUGUUGUUGUUGUUGUUAUUGUUUUUAUCACCCCCGACACAAACUCCAUACAUUCAAGCAAUUCCUUCUCCCAGCCCCUGGGAACAAACACUUUCCUUUCUGUGUAUGUGAAUUUGACUAUGUAGGUGCCCAGUGCAAGUGGAAUAGCUUAGUCUGUUUUUGUUUUUUUGUUUUUGUUUUUGUUUUUAUCCAGUUUAUUUAGCAUGGUGUCUUCAGGUACCAAGGCACACGUCAGAACAUCCUUCAUUUUAAGGCUAUGUAAUAGUCCCCAUACACAGAAAGGAAAGUGUGAUCAGUGGGGAGAGAAUAUUUCUGAAGUAGAGAAAGAGAGAGAAAGAGAGAGAGAGAGAGAGAGAGAGAGAGAGAGAGAGAGAGAGAGAGAGAUCAGAGAUCAGAGAAAAAAUCCCCAUUGGAAAAACUGUUUAAAUAAAAAAGUCACAGUUACCUUUUUACCAAAUGAGUGUUCUGAAGGGAAAUAGACUUACAUUUAUUCAGGGCUCCAAUGGAAAUGGCCAUGGUUUUGGUAUAGGGAGGUGUUGACAUGGCCUGGCCAUGGACAGCCUGCCUCCCCAACCCACUAUUAAGGGAUUCCUAGCAAGGCUGUGAUGAUUUGAAUGAGAAUGGCCCUCAUAGGCUCAACACUGGUUAGGAGGUGUGGGGUCUGCUACCGUGGGUAGUAGGGUCUAUGGGUUUAUAAGACUCACGCCUUCCCAGAGUGCUCUCUCUGCCUUGUGGUUCUAGAUCAAGAUAUACGUUCUCAGCUGUUCCUUUGUUUUUCUACCAUGGACUCCAACCCUCUGAAGCCGUAAGCCAAGUUAAACAAUUUCUUUUAUAAGUUACCUUGGUUAUGAUAGCUCUUCAUGGCAAUAGAAACAUAACUGACAGAAAUUGGUACCAGGGAGUAGACUAUUGCUAUAACUGAACUGACCUUGUGAUUUUUUUCUUUAGAGGAAUGCAGAAGGCUUUAGGAUAUUGGACUAGGAAAGUGAUUGAACACUGUUAGCUUCAUGAGCCAUCCUAUCGGGAGCUUGGAAGACAGCAGUGCUGAGAGCUCUGAAGGCUGAAGGGUUAUCAGUAAUCAGUCUUUUCGUAAAUGUGAUCCACGUAAGCCUCCGUGGUCUACAGUGAAGACGACCAAGUGGGGCAAAAUUGAUGUAUAAAGUACCCAGUUUGAAGAGAAAAAGAGUAACAUUUGAGGCAAGACUUGUGCUGGAAGAGAUGAGAAGGUUAAAGAGCGGUCUGAUCAAAAACGGAAUAUGAACGUGUGCCGGGGGCCAGCCCUGGCAGUUCUUCAUUCUUGUUUAGUUCUUUUUGGGGCAGCAGAGGGUGAAGAGUGUUGGCAGGAGUAAGGACUUAUGAAAUAUUUAGGACUGCUGUAUAAUAAUAAAUCAUUUAUCUGCCUUAAGUCUAUUUACCUGUCUUAAGUCACUAUUCAAUAGCUGACCUAUGUGCUGUGAGUUCCUCUGAGGUGAGAAAUUGUUUAGUAUCUCAUCAUAAAACAACAAAGGAUUAAGUGAAAAGAUUUACUGCUGCUGCUCCUUUCUCUGGUAAAUCAGCCAGAAGCCUCUCUGGCUAAGCUGGUUAACUCUUUGUGAACCAGAGAGGAGGGAAAGGAAGAUAAUUAAGAGGCUGUAUACAGGGAAAUAGUCACAGACACAUAUUCAAUAGAAAUAUUCAUAAACCCACACUCUGGCCGGGCACACCUGUCAGUCACAAUCAACUCCUCAAGGAUUCAUGCAGGCUCACAUACAUUACAUAUACCGCACA